GACCUGCCCAGGCCAGCCUGACAUAAAAGGGCAGCUCUAGUCUGGCUUGGACUGAUCAGGGCUCAUCUGUCCACAGCUGGCCAUGAGGUUCCCUGCUCAGCUCCUGGGGCUCCUCCUGCUCUGGGUCCCAGGAUCCAGUGGGGCCAUCGUGCUGACCCAGACUCCACUCUCCCUGUCAGUCAGCCCUGGAGAGCCGGCCUCCAUCUCCUGCAGGUCCAGUCAGAGCCUUGAGAGUUUUGGAUACAAUUUUUUGAGUUGGUACCAGCAGAAACCAGGCCAGUCGCCAAGGCUCCUGAUCUAUGAGGCUACCAACAGGGCCUCUGGGGUCCCAGACAGGUUCAGUGGCAGUGGGUCAGGCACAGAUUUCACCCUGAAAAUCAGCAGGGUGGAGGCUGAGGAUGCAGGCGUUUAUUACUGCCAGCAAAAUAAAGAACCUCCUCCCACAGUGAUACAGCCCUUGACACAAACCCCUCUCCUGGGGGCCCAGCUGCACACAUGGGUGUGUGUUGUCUGGGGGAGCAGAGGGGCAGAUGCUCUGAGGCUGUGUAAGAGGAAGAGGUGGGAGAACCAGGGGCAGAGGGUGCAGCUGAGGCCUGUGGGCCAGCAGAGCCUCAGCUCCUCCUCAGACACCACAUGUCAAGGCCCCUCAGCUUCAUGGCCUUGGCCCGAUGCCCCCUUCAAAACAGGCCAGUGAGCGAAGUUGGCCUCC